AUACUACCUGGCAGGGGAGAUACAUGAUCAUGAAGGUGGUUCACCCAGGGCGGGGCCCAGCCAUUGCACUUCGGUUGUGCUGACUCGCAAGAAUUCCCAAAUGUGGGAAUCUCACUGCAUAAUUUGUGGUAGUGGGGACUCAGUCUCGCCUCCCUG